UACAGAGGGUGCGAGCGUUGUCCGGAAUCACUGGGCGUAAAGGGCGCGUAGGUGGCCUGGUAAGUAGGGGGUGAAAUCUCGAGGCUCAACUUCGAGGCUGCCUCCUAAACUGUCGGGCUUGAGCAGAGUAGAGGCAGGUGGAAUUCCCGGUGUAGCGGUGGAAUGCGUAGAGAUCGGGAAGAACAUCGGUGGCGAAGGCGGCCUGCUGGGCUCUUGCUGACACUGAGGCGCGACAGCGUGGGGAGCAAACAGG
rnacentral:rRNA from 1 species